CUAAAUAUUUAAAUAUUUAUUUUUUAACACUUUUACCAAGUAUAAAAUAUUCAAUAAAAUCUCUGUCUGUGUUUUAAAAAUGUAUUGUGAAUGUUAUAGGUUGUUUGAACGCACGCAGUGUGGGUUAAAGAAACGAGUUGCUUUGAUGUUUCAGUUUUGUUAAAAGUAUUUCAUGGAACUUCUUUAAUAAUUCUUAAUGGUGUCUAUAUAUUUUAUAAAAAAAAGAAGGAAGUCUGAAUUUAUCUUAUGGAUGUACAUUUAAGGGGUUUUGUUGUUCAUCAUUAGGUGAAUGACAUUUGCUCAAAGAGUGUUGCGUUAUCGUUAAAAGAAAGAUUAAUCUAGUUCCGCUAGCUUCACCAUAAAAGUUUCCUCUGAUUUGGUUAGUUUUUCUCAAUCUUGAGAAUUAUACAGUAUAUUGCCGGAGAAGGCUGAAACAAAGAAAACAGGUAUGCCUAGUGACCAAAGCAAAGAUUUUACGCUGUAACCCAAAGUUUAGAAUAGAGAGAUUAUAUCUCUAUGGUACAACCUUUUCAUAAGAAUGAUAAAAAUCAGAGCAGGCUGAAAUAUUCUUAAAUUUUUUUCAAUUUUAAGGCCGAAAAUAUUCUUAACACAUAUACAUAUGCACUACAUUGACGUAGUAUAUAAUUGAAGAGUGCGACACGUGUGUUGUUAAUGUUUUGAAACGCAAUUUGGAAGAAAAAAAUUAAAAUCAAACGAAGGAUUAUUGUUAAAUUUUUUGAUUUUUUUUAAGUAAAUCCCAACCUCAUGUUUUUAUAUAUAUAAAGCACAUUUUUAUAAGAGAUACUAUGCUAUACUAUGCUUCAAAACAAAAGCAGGAUGUAAUGACAAAAAUAAAACUCUUACCUUGUGAACUUUUUCUAUUUAUUCAAAGAUACACAGAACUUUGUAUCCUUGUACAAAUUCGCGAAAGGACAGAUUUAAUAUAAUAAAUAGAAAACAACUUUCAAUAAGGACACUAUAAAUUAUUCAAAUAUUUUCAACUUUUUGUGUAUUUAAAAAAGAUCAGAUUACGUUCAGUGGCUCAUUCAUGCAUGGUCGAUGUUUUUUCUGUGGUUAGGUUUCCGAAGUAAAUAAACUUGAGUUACUUUGCAUGUGUUUUUGCAUCUGAUCUUAUUUCUGCAACGUCCGUGGAUUAUGUCUGGAUGUGAGAAAUGUACAAGAAUGUAAACAAACGUGGUUUCCACGCCCUCCUCGUUUUGAAACAAAUUAUUUUGUUUGUUUUUUAGGAAUUAACAAAUGUUUAGCCUAACUUACCAAACUUAAUAUUUUUUUUAACAAACAAGGAAAGAAUAAACUAAAAUAAUUGAAGCAGCUUGCGAGUAAUUUUUAAUAGAGGAUAAAAAUUGAGAUUCCUGGUAAGAUAAAGUGAUUUUUGUUACGGAAACCAGAAUAAAGUAAUGAAGUGUCAGUUGUGGUCUACGAAGUUAAACUGAGAUCCAAUCAUAUCAUCACGAAAUAGGCUGACGGAAAAUCCGGAACAUCACAGCUCAACUUUGGAAAAAAGAAAUUUAUGUACGCUGAAAGAAACUUUCGCUAGAAGUUGGUUGGAAAAAACUUUCGCUAGAAAGUCCGCAGGAAGGAACUUUUGGGAGAAGUUAGUUGGACGAAACUUUCGCUAAAGUUGGGUAGGAUUUGGAAGGGGAUUUUAUAGGUUGCUUGAAUUUCACUGGGAGAAACUCUCGCUAGAACUUUGUUAGAAGAGAAUUCCGCUGCAAGAAACUUCCUGUUGUGAAAACGGGAAAACCUUACAAAAA